UCCAGGGUAGCCUAGUGGACAUGGCAUCUGCCCGGUAAGCGGAUCACGGUGGGUUCGAUUCCCACCCCUGGAC
rnacentral:tRNA from 1 species